AGCUUUGCGCAGUGGCAGUAUUGUAGCCAAUGAGGUUUAUUUGAGGCGCAAUUAUUGCUAAUUGAAAAUUAUUGCUAAUUGAAAAAAAUAUGAGAGUUUAAAAAAAAA
rnacentral:snRNA from 1 species